rnacentral:rRNA from 1 species
GAGAAGGCUAUGUUGGCCGGGCGACGGUUGUCCCGGUUUAAGCGUGUAGGCUGGUUUUCCAGGCAAAUCCGGAAAAUCAAGGCUGAGGCGUGAUGACGAGGCACUACGGUGCUGAAGCAACAAAUGCCCUGCUUCCAGGAAAAGCCUCUAAGCAUCAGGUAACAUCAAAUCGUACCCCAAACCGACACAGGUGGUCAGGUAGAGAAUACCAAGGCGCUUGAGAGAACUCGGGUGAAGGAACUAGGCAAAAUGGUGCCGUAACUUCGGGAGAAGGCACGCUGAUAUGUAGGUGAAGUCCCUCGCGGAUGGAGCUGAAAUCAGUCGAAGAUACCAGCUGGCUGCAACUGUUUAUUAAAAACACAGCACUGUGCAAACACGAAAGUGGACGUAUACGGUGUGACGCCUGCCCGGUGCCGGAAGGUUAAUUGAUGGGGUUAGCGCAAGCGAAGCUCUUGAUCGAAGCCCCGGUAAACGGCGGCCGUAACUAUAACGGUCCUAAGGUAGCGAAAUUCCUUGUCGGGUAAGUUCCGACCUGCACGAAUGGCGUAAUGAUGGCCAGGCUGUCUCCACCCGAGACUCAGUGAAAUUGAACUCGCUGUGAAGAUGCAGUGUACCCGCGGCAAGACGGAAAGACCCCGUGAACCUUUACUAUAGCUUGACACUGAACAUUGAGCCUUGAUGUGUAGGAUAGGUGGGAGGCUUUGAAGUGUGGACGCCAGUCUGCAUGGAGCCGACCUUGAAAUACCACCCUUUAAUGUUUGAUGUUCUAACGUUGACCCGUAAUCCGGGUUGCGGACAGUGUCUGGUGGGUAGUUUGACUGGGGCGGUCUCCUCCUAAAGAGUAACGGAGGAGCACGAAGGUUGGCUAAUCCUGGUCGGACAUCAGGAGGUUAGUGCAAUGGCAUAAGCCAGCUUGACUGCGAGCGUGACGGCGCGAGCAGGUGCGAAAGCAGGUCAUAGUGAUCCGGUGGUUCUGAAUGGAAGGGCCAUCGCUCAACGGAUAAAAGGUACUCCGGGGAUAACAGGCUGAUACCGCCCAAGAGUUCAUAUCGACGGCGGUGUUUGGCACCUCGAUGUCGGCUCAUCACAUCCUGGGGCUGAAGUAGGUCCCAAGGGUAUGGCUGUUCGCCAUUUAAAGUGGUACGCGAGCUGGGUUUAGAACGUCGUGAGACAGUUCGGUCCCUAUCUGCCGUGGGCGCUGGAGAACUGAGGGGGGCUGCUCCUAGUACGAGAGGACCGGAGUGGACGCAUCACUGGUGUUCGGGUUGUCAUGCCAAUGGCACUGCCCGGU